rnacentral:tRNA from 1 species
GUUUAAAUAGUUUAAAAAAAAUAUUAAUUUGUGGAAUUAAAGUUAUAAAAUAUAUUUUAAACU